rnacentral:sRNA from 1 species
UUCAUACAAAUGGGUGACUCGGCUAGCC